AACGAACGCUGGCGGCAGGCUUAACACAUGCAAGUCGAACGCAUCGCAAGAUGAGUGGCAGACGGGUGAGUAACGCGUGGGAACAUACCCUUUUCUACGGAAUAGCUCUGGGAAACUGGAAUUAAUACCGUAUACGCCCUACGGGGGAAAGAUUUAUCGGGGAAGGAUUGGCCCGCGUUGGAUUAGCUAGUUGGUGGGGUAAAGGCCUACCAAGGCGACGAUCCAUAGCUGGUCUGAGAGGAUGAUCAGCCACAUUGGGACUGAGACACGGCCCAAACUCCUACGGGAGGCAGCAGUGGGGAAUAUUGGACAAUGGGCGCAAGCCUGAUCCAGCCAUGCCGCGUGAGUGAUGAAGGCCUUAGGGUUGUAAAGCCCUUUCACCGCUGAAGAUAAUGACGGUAGUCGGAGAAGAAGCCCCGGCUAACUUCGUGCCAGCAGCCGCCGUAA
rnacentral:rRNA from 1 species